rnacentral:lncRNA from 1 species
AUGUAAACAGGCAGAGAUGGGGAGGGGUGAGUGGAAGAGAGGGCAUUCCAGGCAUCAGGAACAGCAUAUGCAAAGGCAAGGAGGUAGGAAAGUGCUAUAUGUGAUUGAAGGACAGUGUGUAGCGCAGAUGGGCCGGGGCACAAGAAUGUGAAACAGAUCGGAAAGAGAAAGUGUCCGGGGCUCUGAAACCUUUACAUCAAAGAUAUCCCCAAGUUAUGGAGAACUCACCCAGGAUUUCCCUUGUCUACAUUCUCUCUUCUUCCUUAUUCCCCAGCCCAGUCCAACUGCAAUCCCUCUCUGCUAGAAAAAAGAAUCUAUACACAAAAGGCAGAUCUGCCUUCUUUUCGGUUUGUUUUCACUGAUGCCUUUUGCUUUGGACGUUUCUUUCAUUUCUGAACACGGUAAAGUCCUCCCUGUCUCCCCCCACCCUCAACUCUAUUUAUUCUCUUUCAGACUAGUGACUCAUAGCUGAGAAUGACGAACUGUCAAUAACCAGAGGAGUGGGGCCAUUGAAUGACCAGAGAUCCUUCUAGAACUGGCUGGCUGUUUGAAACCAAUGGCAUGGAGCUCAGGGGAGAGGGGGCCAAGCCCUCAUCCUGAGCUUUCCUGGGAAUUACAGAGAAGCCUUCUUCACAAUGCAGAGGUUGUCUGGGUCCAGCAAAAACGGAAACGCUGAAAUCCCUGAAAGCCAAGGGAGAGGAUGCGGAGAGGACUUGGCAGAAAGUGAUUUGAAAAGCAGACUCAGCAACUCGGGGACAUGGAUGGGUGGAAAAGAUGAAUGCAGAAGGAUCUGUAUUUUGCAGCAGGCUGGGGCUGAGAUACCACAAAGUCAUCCAGCUCCUGGAACCAAUUGGACCUGGAAGGAAGAGGAAGGAAGGAAGGACCUGGAGAACAGCUUUGCUGUGUGCUGACAGCUGCUAUGGGGGCCUCCUCUGCUCUGCUGGAAUGGCCCGGUGAGAUCUUCAUUACAGUGAUGUCCAAUUGUAGACUAAAUGAUGAUUGGGUGAGAUGAACUCCAUCUUCCCUCUUUGCCUCAGAGUUGGGAAGAAUGCUCACUCUUUAACUGAACUACUCCUCAGCAGUCAUUUUGCCCUCUUCCCUCAGAGGCUGAAAGAUUGAGCAGGAGAAGCUGCUCCUACUGUCCCUGCUAGGAGUAUUUCUGCAUGAUGGAAAAACCGUAUUAUUGUUUUUAUGCACUAGUUAUUAAAAUAACAUAAAAAUAAUUAUUUCCAACAAAAUGUACUGGUCAGUCCUUUCAUCCCAACCCUUCUUUCUCUCUUCAGUUUUUGUCCUUCCUCUUGCUACUGUUUAUUCCACUGUUACAUAAAGAAAUUGGCAGCCACUAACCUUUGGGUGUCAUGCUUUGUGUUAGCCAAGGCGAUGGAGGUUGGCAAACUGGGGAAUCAGGAAGAAAGAGGAAUACCCACCUAGUAUCUAGCCUGAGGCACACUGGCCAGGAGACUUUCCCUAAAAGAUCAUCAACAUUUUGGCUACUGUGUAAUCCUAUUCCUCGACCAGCUCAAAAGGAUAAGAAGAAAAAGUAAUAAGUAGAGAGAGGUUAGGGUGUGAGAAUUAAAGAAAUGAUCCCCUAGACCACAUAUAUUCUAUGAGCUGGUUGGGAUGCAGAGAGGGAAGGAGAAUGUUUCGGGUGGGCACCAUAUUGGGGUCUUUUGGAUUCCUCGUCAUGCUUACCAGGGCCGUCUAUUUCCUCCUGGAGCGGCUUGUCUGUGGGGAAGGAUAUUUAUAAGUCUAGGGGCUACUCCCACCUAUCACCAGUAUUUACCUUCCCCACCAGGAUUUGCCCUGUCCCCCUUGUGAGAGACAAGCCCUCCUAUUUCUAUGCUACACAUAAGUCUUUUUACAUGUGAGUUUUUAUUACAUACACAACGGCUACGGCAAUGUAAAUAGAAAAAAAAAUCUGAAUGCUGUGCAAUUAUAAUCACCAUGUUUGGCCCCGACAAAGAGCUAUCAAAAUGUGCUUCUCUUCCUUCUUUGCAGAGGUGGGGGACUAUGGGAGGGAAGGACAUUGCCUGUAAUGACAUAUUUCACUGAUGUAGUGGUUAGUUUUUACUAACCUGCUUUCUUUUUUUAUUCUUUGUUAUAAGGGUGUUAUUAGGGAAGGAUACAAUAGAAAAUAAAAGUGAUAAAAGACACCCA